rnacentral:tRNA from 1 species
GCGGUAGUGGCGAAAUCAGCAGACGCGCCUGAUUUGGAAUCAGGUGGGGUUCCCUUAGAAGGCUCCGUGCGGGUGCAAAUCCCGUCUACCGCA